CCUACGGGAGGCAGCAGUUAGGAAUCUUGCACAAUGGGGGAAACCCUGAUGCAGCGACGCCGCGUGGAGGACGAAGGAUUUAGGUCUGUAAACUCCUUUUGCUAGGAAAGACUCAGGACGGUACCUAGCGAAUAAGCCCCGGCUAACUACGUGCCAGCAGCCGCGGUAAUACGUAGGGGGCAAGCGUUGUCCGGAUUUACUGGGCGUAAAGGGCGCGUAGGCGGCGUGUUAAGUGAGAAGUGAAAUCUCCAGGGCUCAACCCGGAAACUGCUUCUCAUACUGGCAUGCUAGAGGAAGGCAGAGGUUAAUAGAAUUCCUGGUGUAGCGGUGACAUGCAUUGAUAUCAGGAGGAAUACCGAUGGCGAAGGCAGUUAACUGGGCCUUUCCUGACGCUGAGGCGCGAAAGCGUGGGUAGCAAACAGAAUUAGAUACUCUGGUAGUCCACGCCCUAAACGAUGGAUGCUAGGCGUGUGGGGUAUCGACCCCCUACGUGCCGACGCUAACGCAUUAAGCAUCCCGCCUGGGGAGUACGGCCGCAAGGUUGAAACUCAAAGGAAUUGACGGG
rnacentral:rRNA from 1 species